UACACUGCCAUAGGGUUGCUGUGAGUUUCCCGGCCAAGUUCUAGAAGGUUGUUGUAUAUUUUUCGGGCUGUAUGGCCAUGUUCCAGAAGCAUUCUCUCCUGACGUUUCGCCCACAUCUAUGGCAGGCAUCCUCAGAAGUUCCAGAAGCAUUCUCUCCUGACGUUUCACCUACUUCUAUGGCAGGCAACCUCAGGGGCUGUGUGGUUUAUAUAUCUGGAAUGUCCAAGCCCCAAGAGUGUCCUGGUUAUGUGAAGAAUUCAUCCCAUUCAAUUGCACACAUGUCUGCAGAUGAUGCUGAACAGUUUUAAAAAGAGGUUGGAUAGGCAUAUUUUAGAAGUGCUGGAAUUAUGAAUUUUUGCAUGAAAGGAGUGCAUCUACACUGCAAAAUGAAUGCACUUUGAUAUCACUUUAACUUUUAAUAUGUAUAUUUAUAGAGUUUUUACAAUCAUUUUGUGUUUUAACUAUGUUGUAAUCCACCUCAGAUUUGAGAGGUGGGUAAGAAAUAAAGUUAUUAUUAUUAUUAUUAUCAUUACUAUUAUUAAUUGCCACCAGUUAAUGCUAUGGAAUCAUGAGGCAGUUAUCAUAACUCUUUCCUGCUCUGCCAAAGAGUUUGGGUGCCUUGCCAAACCACCAAUCACAGGCUUCCAUAGCAUUGAGCCAUGGUAGUUAAAAAUGGCAGUGUCGAGACAGCCAAGGUGGCCCUUGUAGCUUCAUCCAACUCUGAUUCUGUUAAUAGUUUGACUAAUUGAUUUGCUUGCAUGCGGAUUCACUUCUGUAAAGGCCUGUGGUCUUGAAUUCAACCAACAAGUGCAAUUUGGAAAGUUUUUCAUGUCAGAUUUGACCGUAAGCCAGUCAACAGGUGGAUGUUGAGAAAGCACCUUCUGAGAGAGACUUAUGUGCCUGGAUGGGGUUGGGGAAAACGUAUUUGACAUGCAACCAGUUAGAACGGUGGCUCCCAACCUUUGGGCCUCGAGGUGUUUUGGACUACAACUCCCAGAAAUCCCAGCCAGCUUACCAGCUGUUAGGAAGUGUGGGAACUGAAGUCCAAAACACCUGGAGGCCCAAAGGUUGGGAACCACAGAGUUAGAAGGAACUUUGCAGGCUUUGAGUUGGGUUGCUUGGCCCCUGUUCUGGGAGGAGCUUGGAAAUGCGUGGGGACUGCCUCUUUCAGAACCCCUCAGCCAGCCAUAGCUAUAUAGCUAGGAUUGGUAGUCCCCAAGCGCUAAAGCCAUGGUUCCUCAAAUCUGAGGAAAACUUCUUCAAUUCAGCAAGACAAACUUUUUAGUACAUGUAAGAAAACAGAAUCCUACCCUCUCCCUUGUUGCUGCUUUCCUUGUUCACUUUUCUGUAAAUUAAUUUAUUAUAGGCCUAGUCUCCGCUUGUCUGGCUUUUGUCAUUUUAUAUAGUUCUUAAACAAAGACCAGGGCCUCCCUUUUUCUGCACCAUGGUCUCUGAUUUCUCACUUCCUCCUUCUUUCCCACUCUCAUGAAUGGAAUAUAAAUAUCUGGCAAGGCUGGGGAGCAUCCAGAGACUUUGGUCCUAUCUAUACUGCCAUAUAAUGCAGUUUAAUUGCAUGUGGCAGUGUAAACUCUUAUAAUCCAAUUCAGUGCAGUUCAACUGCAUUAUAUGGCAGUGUAGACUCAUAUAAUCCAAUUCGAUGCAGUUAAUCUGCAUUGUGAAACUGCACUAUAUGGCAGUGUAGAUUUGGCCCUAGACAAAGCUUUUUGUGAUGUUUGCGGUGAACUCCCAAGCACUUUUAGAAGUCGAGGGGAUCAUACAUAUAUGGUCCAGCUGAGAAUAAAAGCUUAGGAAGGCUUGUGACAGCCACCUGAACAAUGUCCUGUUUGAAGACAUUGGAUUUUAGAGUGGGUUUGGCAUUAACCUCUGUCAAAUUUUGGGUUUUUAAAAAAGGAUUCACCACCUCCAAAGAAAAAGCAUGAGCUUUCUUAAAUCUGCAACUUCCUCUUCUAGAAAGAGAACUGGAGAGGGUGAAAUAUGAAGAUGUGAAACAGAUAACUGCUUUGCCUCCAAUAAAAGUCUUCCUUUUCCUAAAUUAGAAUGAUCAAGGAUGGGGAAGCUAUGCAGCAGGCCCCUUUAAAGCUGGCUCUAGUCUGCACAGUAGAGUUAAUGCAGUUUGACAGCACUUUAACUGCCAUGAAUUCAUAGGCGUUGUAGCUUGAUGAAGCACCAGCACUCCUUGGCAGAGAAAGCUAAAGACCUUGUAAAACUACAGUUCCCAUGAUUUCAUCACAUUGAAUUUUGGCAGUUAAAAUUGUAUCAAGCUGCAUUAACACUACAGUAUAGAUGUCCCCUUAGUGUUCUUUUUAAAUUGUAUUGCACUUGGAGUAUUGGAAGCAUAUUCUGAAAAUUAGGUAGGUUAAGUUUUCUGAAACAGGCUGCUCAAAUAUUCAAAAAAGCUUAACUAUAUGGAAAUAAUGAUGGACCCACCUGGUUAAAAACAAACAAAUCGAAACCUGCCUUUGAAUGAGAAUAAUGUUUUCUGAUAUUUAUUUUUUGGGUGUAUCCAGUGUUUGAAUUCUUUAUUGAAAUGGAUUAUUUACUCUCAGGGCUCUCCCAGACAGGCCCUAUAUCCCAGGAUCUGCUUUAAACUGAAUUAUAUGAGUCCACACUGCCAGGUAAUCUGGGAUAAAUAGAAAACCUGGGAUUAGAUCCUGGGAGAUAGGGCUUAUCUGGAAGGGGCCUCAGAACGGAUGGACCUUCCUCCUCUAGAAGUCUUGAGAUCAAAUGGGCAUCUCUUAGAAGUGCUUUGAUUAUAUUCCUGCAUGGCAGCGGGUUGAACAAGGGGACUCUUACAGGGUUUUCCAACUCUGUGAUUUUGUUAAUGGUUUGGCUCCUUGAUUUGCUUGCACGUGUUCUCAUUUCUAUAAAGGCCUGUAGUCUUGGAUUCAGCUGACAUGUUUUCUACAUCAGAUUUGACUGCCAUUUUUUUGGCUGAAUCUCUCUUUCUUGUUGGGAUUUCUAGGAAUCAAUGAAACCAAGCGCUAGUGCCCUAGAGAUAUCUGCGAGUUUAAACCAGUUGCCUUAUUUGGGAGUACAAAUCCUAGAAUGUCCCAGCUAGGAAUGGCUAAUGGAUUCUAGGAUGAAUACUAUUACUACUACAACAACUACAACUAGUACUAUAACAAAACAAAAAACUCCAACCUUUUCCAAGCUGUUCCAUCAAGAUAUAAAUAAAAUAUAUACUCGAGGAUUGUGUUGCAAAUGAGCAUUGCUCCAGGAAGACAAGCUUUGGCCACAUGAUACAAAAGUUUUCAACAACUCCAAAGGUUCAAUAAACUAUUAUUGACAAGAUGACUGGGAAAGUGGGGAAACUGGCUUUUUUUGGGGACCCCAAUCACAUUGAUCCUUCACUCUCUGCUAAUACCAUAUAAGAUUUUCAAAUAAUGUCCAUGAAUCAAUCAAUACAAAGGGAAAUUAUAAAAGUGUUUAGAGAGAAGAUAUGUGUCAGGACCCAGGCUGCAGAGCACCAAUAACCAUACACAGAGGCCAGAAUCUAUUUAAUAUCUUUAUUGUGGGAAUAUAUAAAGUUAAUAAAAACAAGUGUAGAAAAUAGUCCAGAAGUAGACCUUCCAGGAAAGGUCAAAAUUAGUCCAAAGAAACAAUGUCCAAUAUGAAAUAUUAAGGUGCAAAGUUGUAAUCCAGUAACCGAAACACUCACUUUGCCAAGCAAAGUGAGGGGAGAUGACAAGGUCCUAUAGUCCAUGAAACUUAAGCAAGGCUAGGAAGUAAACUUGAUUCUUGGAACACUAGGCUUAAUUCAAGGCAACAAGAAACGAGGAGCAAGAACAGGAUCCGUGGUAAAUUCGUGGCGAGGUCCGGAAAGCAAGGCAAGGUCCGUGGAGCAAGGCAAGGUCCUGGGAAGCAAGGCAAGGCUAGAAACGGGAGCAAAGGGCUUGAACGCGGGAGUAGCGUAGUCCACACACAACCUACUCCCGAAGCUGACGAAUUGACUCCACAAGAUUCCUACGUGGGCAAAACACCUAAAUAGGGUCUCGUUUUCCCGCCAAAGAACAAUUCUCUGGGGAACCAGAACCGAAAGCCAUCCUCUGUGUCCAGAUGCAUGACUCCCUAAAGUUUCCCAUGGGAAGCAGGCUUAAUCAGCUGAAUGCCUGGCAGCAAUCCUAGCGCUCCUGCGAGACGCCUCCUGAGCGCCUUUCUGUUGUUUAUAAUAAUCACGGCGAGAAAAUGGGGGAGAUUUCGGCUCAGGGCUUGUUUGGCAGACUUCUGGAAGGCAAAUCUCCUGCAGGUGCAAGGGCUCCAAUUCUGGCUGAAACGGUGGGAAACCUAAGUUUUCCUCUUCAUCUGUCACAACAGUGCUGGGGACGGGACUACAUGGCCCAUGAGUCAUCACAAUAUGUGUGCUUGUUUAUAUAAGUUGGCAGCAUGUUAUAAAUAUGGAUAAACUAAAUUGAGUAUGUG